rnacentral:rRNA from 1 species
UGAUCCUGGCUCAGGACGAACGCUGGCGGCGUGCUUAACACAUGCAAGUCGAACGAGAAUCUGCGGAAAGAGGAUUCGUCCAAUUGAAGCAGAGGACAGUGGCGGACGGGUGAGUAACGCGUGAGGAACCUGCCUUUCAGAGGGGACAACAGUUGGAACGACUGCUAAUACCGCAUGACACAUUGGGGUCGCAUGGCCUGAUGUCAAAGNUUUAUCG